rnacentral:rRNA from 1 species
GCAACACAUGUCGGCGACCGGCGAAAGGGUGAGUAACGCGUGAGCAGCAUAGCCCCGUUUGGGGGAUAAGCGAGGGAAACUUCGUCUAAUAUCCCAUAACACCAUUAUCCGCAUGGGUGAUGGUUAAAAGCUUCGGCGAUCGGGGAUUGGUUCGCGUGGCAUUAGCUAGUCGGCGGGGUAACGGCCCACCGAGGCAACGAUGCCUAGGGGUUCUGAGAGGAAGGCCCCCCACAUUGGGACUGGGACACGGCCCAAACUCCUACGGGAGGCAGCAGUGAGGAAUAUUGGUCAAUGGACGGAAGUCUGAACCAGCCAUGCCGCGUGAAGGACGACGGCCCUAUGGGUUGUAAACUUCUUUUGCAGCAGAGCAAUAAGGCGUACGUGUACGUCGAUGAGAGUAUGUUGCGAAUAAGCAUCGGCUAACUCCGUGCCAGCAGCCGCGGUAAUACGGAGGAUGCGAGCGUUAUCCGGAUUUUUUGGGUUUAAAGGGUGCGUAGGCUGUGCUGCAAGUCAGCGGUGAAAGACCGGGGCCCAACUCCGGAAGUGCCGUUGAUACUGUGGUGCUAGAGUACCCCUGCCGUGGGGAGGAAUGAGUGGUGUAGCGGUGAAAUGCAUAGAUAUCACUCAGAACACCGAUUGCGAAGCAUCUCACGAAUGGGCAACUGACGCUGAGCACGAAAGCGUGGGUAUCAAACAGGAUUAGAUACCCUGGUAGUCCACGCAGUAAACGAUGAUGGCUAACUGCCGGCGAUACACAGUCGGUGGCCAAGCGAAAGCGAUAAGUCAUCCACCUGGGGAGUACGACCGCAAGGUUGAAACUCAAAGGAAUUGACGGGGGCCCGCACAAGCGGAGGAACAUGUGGUUUAAUUCGAUGAUACGCGAGGAACCUUACCCGGGCUCGAACGGCAGAUGACGGCGUCAGAGAGGUCGCUUCCCUUCGGGGCAUCUGUCGAGGUGCUGCAUGGUUGUCGUCAGCUCGUGUCGUGAGAUGUUGGCUCAAGUGCCAUAACGAGUGCAACCCUUGUCGUUAGUUGCCAUCAAGUAGUGUUGGGGACUCUAUCGAGACUGCCACCGCAAGGUGUGAGGAAGGAGGGGAUGACGUC